rnacentral:lncRNA from 1 species
CUAAACCUUUAAAAACAAAUGUAACCUUUACUUUUAUUAAAUCUGUUCAAAGACAAACUUAUGAUCAAACUUUGUGUGUCUAUGUGUGUGUGUACCUUUUAAAAAGGUACUGCACCAGUAUCAGCUUUUGUACCUUUUUUUAUGAGCGUGAACCGUUUUAACUUUAAGGCCAUUUAGGGGAAACACUGUGGUUUGCUAUUCUCAAAAUUUACAGGUGCUUAUGUUAUGGUUGUUGCAAGCGGAUCUUAAAAUAAACGAUGCAGUAAGCAAAGGUAUCGGCUACAUACAGCCUCAGAGCAGGGGAAAACCUGCUGCUUUGACCAGAACAUAAUCUUGAUUUCAGUCAAAUAAAUUUGCAUGUUUGAUGCAAUAAUGAACAUAAUUGAGUGUAUAUAAUAACAUGCAUUUUUGUCAAUAACUUUAGCAAAAUAUGCAAAUUAAGGCAGAGAUUUGUUAGCAGUUUUCCAACAAUAUACCUAAUUAAUUACUUUCUAAGUAAGUUGGACAAGAAUCAUUUUUGGCAUAUACUCACUGUAUAUUUUUAUAACAGUCUCAUGCAUGUAAUAAUCUGAGGUGAUCUCACUUUGACUUUGCUACAGGAUGUGGUAAAAAUGGAAACCUGUUGCUUAAACUGAAGUAAGUAGGUAGCCCAGCAUUUGACUCUACAACCUCAAAACACUUCAAUGCAAAAGAAAAUCUAUCUACCCUCAGCAUUAAAUGUUAUCAAAUGCAUCACAAAGCACAUUUUUCACUGUUUGGUCACAGCUGCAUCACUGAUCUGGCAGUAGAAAAUCAUAUGUCAGUCAUAAGUGACGAUUCACUGAUGCUGUGAAAUUGCAGCCCCAGACCACCGCAUGUAAGAGUCUGUGUGUGUGUGUUUACAGGAAAUAUCAUGUGAAGGACAUCAGCCUACACAUUCUCUGUCUUGGUCUUGCAACUUUGAGACCUUGGAUGUCAUGCAUCAUGUACAUUUCACAUCUUUGGAUAUUUUUUGGUGCUUUGGUGUCUUCAAAUGCUCAGAACCACGGGAAUAAAAGAUGCACAGAGGUCACCUUGAACGCUUCUCUGAAUUCUGAAGUCUUUCUCCCAUGUCACUUUAAUAUAAGCCAUUGCAAUGAAACCGAGGGAGUGAAUUGGAGCUCCUACUCUUCCAAUCUUGUAACGAUCAUGAUUAAUGGCAGAAUGUUCUUUGGCAGUCCUAGUGAAGGACGAGUGAAUGUUUUUCCGCUUCUGUCUAAACAUGGAAACUUCUCCAUCCUCAUCCAUGAUCUGCAGUCUUCAGACAUUGGCACCUACUUAUGUAAGCUCAAAAGUGAAUGCUGAGGGUGAAAAUCAGUGAACGUCCGCACAGUGAGAUUCAGAGGUGCUAUAUGUAACUGCACUAGCAUACAUUCAGACAAAUGUUAAUGUAUACAAUAUAUUUAACAAAUCAAUGGUUUAAAUAUUUUUUUAUAUUUUACAUUCUUGCAGAUUCAUGACUUUUUGUGUUUAACUGUUGCAUUUUUUUCGCAGAGAUAUGCCGUUUAAAAGCAUGUGACAACAUGCCAGGCAUUCAAAAGCAUUUUAGCGCAUGCACAGAAGUAGUCUACAAUAAUAUUUGUAUAUAGACACAUGUACAUUUUGCAGAUGGUUAUUGGUCAAAAUGGCGUGAUUUCGAAACUGUUACAUUAUAACUGUAUUUUUUUCUUUGUAGAAAUCAAUGAGACAAACCCCUGGUUCUACUUUGCAGCUGGAGCUGGAUUGUUUAUUCUCCUUUUUAUUGCAUUCAGCCUGUUAUCAAAAUUCUAUGGUGAGCAUUGUUUCCUUACAUUAUUUAGAUGGUAUAAUUUAAAUAGUAUUUGUAUGUUUAUUAUGUAAAAUAAAUA